rnacentral:rRNA from 1 species
GAUGAACGCUGGCGGCGUGCCUAAUACACGCAAGUCGAGCGAACAGACGAGGAGCUUGCUCCUCUGACGUUAGCGGCGGACGGGUGAGUAACACGUGGACAACCUACCUAUAAGACUGGGAUAACUUCGGGAAACCGGAGCUAAUACCGGAUAAUAUAUUGAACCGCAUGGUUCAAUAGUGAAAGACGGUUUUGCUGUCACUUAUAGAUGGAUCCGCGCCGCAUUAGCUAGUUGGUAAGGUAACGGCUUACCAAGGCAACGAUGCGUAGCCGACCUGAGAGGGUGAUCGGCCACACUGGAACUGAGACACGGUCCAGACUCCUACGGGAGGCAGCAGUAGGGAAUCUUCCGCAAUGGGCGAAAGCCUGACGGAGCAACGCCGCGUGAGUGAUGAAGGUCUUCGGAUCGUAAAACUCUGUUAUUAGGGAAGAACAAAUGUGUAAGUAUCUAUGCACGUCUUGACGGUACCUAAUCAGAAAGCCACGGCUAACUACGUG